rnacentral:sRNA from 1 species
ACCACUUUUGCAUCCUUCGGUCUCUGGCGUGCCUGCCAUGACGUAAUAGCUCUGCGGAGGUGGAAGUUGGGGAGCUUUGAGGCCUCCUCUGUAAAAUGGAAACUCUGUACCCCUGCUUGUCUUAGGACCUCAUGGAUCCCAGGGGGACCAAGAGAGGAGCUGAGAAGACAGAGGUAGCUGAGCCUCGGAACAAACUACCUCGUCCAGCACCUUCUCUGCCCACAGACCCUGCCCUCUACUCUGGGCCCUUUCCUUUCUACCGGCGCCCUUCGGAACUGGGCUGCUUCUCCCUGGAUGCUCAACGCCAGUACCAUGGAGAUGCCCGAGCCCUGCGCUACUAUAGCCCACCCCCCACUAACGGUCCAGGCCCCAACUUCGACCUCAGAGACGGAUACCCGGAUCGAUACCAGCCCCGGGACGAGGAGGUCCAAGAAAGGCUGGACCACCUGCUGUGCUGGCUCCUGGAACACCGAGGCCGGUUGGAGGGGGGUCCAGGCUGGCUGGCAGAGGCCAUAGUGACGUGGCGGGGGCACCUGACAAAACUGCUGACGACACCGUAUGAGCGGCAGGAGGGCUGGCAGCUGGCAGCCUCCCGGUUCCAGGGAACACUAUACCUGAGUGAAGUGGAGACACCGAACGCUCGGGCCCAGAGGCUUGCUCGGCCACCGCUCCUCCGGGAGCUUAUGUACAUGGGAUACAAAUUUGAGCAGUACAUGUGUGCAGGUGAGUUGCCCCUG